GACGAACGCUGGCGGCGUGCUUAACACAUGCAAGUCGAACGAUGAAGAAAAGAAUUGAAGCUUCGGCAGAAAUUCAUUUCGGAUUAGUGGCAGACGGGGGAGUAACGCGUGAGCAACCUACCUCUUACAAAGGGAUAGCCUCGGGAAACCGGGAUUAAUACCAUAUAACAUUGCGACGAAGCAUUUCGAUGCAAUCAAAGCUACGGCGGUAAGAGAUGGGCGCGCGUCCCAUUAACCAGAUGGUGAGGUAACGGCUCACCAUAGUAACGAUGGGUAACCGGCCUGAGAGGCUGAACGGUCACACUGGAACUGAGCCACGGUCCAGACUCCUACGGGAGGCAGCAGUGGGGAAUAUUGCCAAAUGGAGGGAACUCUGAUGCAGCGACGCCGCGUGAGUGAUGAAGGAAUUCAUUUCGUAAACCUCUGUUCUAUGCGAAGAAAAGGACUGUACCAUAGGAGAAAGCUCCGGCUAACUACGUG
rnacentral:rRNA from 1 species